UUCCAAGGGGUCUUUGUCGAGGUGUGUAGUCCACAGCAGCAGUGGUCAAAUGAGGAAUUGGUGAGGCAAUGGGAAGUUUGAAUAAUCAUAAAAAUAAAAACCAAAGAUAAAAUUGUAGAGUGAGGUAAGCUGGCAGAAGCCCAGUGCACUUUAAAAGGCUGCAAUGGGUCGUCACUGUCCUAACUAAAUGAUAUAUGGAAAAAUCCCAUAAUAAUAUCCAGCAAUAGUUAUCUUGUUGUUAGGGAAAAAUAAAUAGGUCUGUGGCUGGAAGGCAGCCCAGUAAUCUCCACGUCUUUUUUUUUCCCAACAGUGUAUUGUUCUGAUAUUCUUUGGGACUGGGUUAGGAGGAAGUGCCAGAGCCCUUUAUAUUAAGAAGCAUCCUACGACAAGCCAGAAAGAGACUAGCAAACUCCUUCCAUUCCUUGGUCCUGGCUUGAGCAAGCAUUUAUUUAGCAUGUGCUGUAUAUCCAGCAUGUACUAGAUGCAUACUCUGACCAAUUAGAUUAUAAAUUCUUUGAGAGCAGGCUCUGAUUUCUACUUGUCUGGUGUAAAUCCCAUCUCUUGCCAGUCAUUGCCCUUGAUGUAAUAAUAAUUGUACAUAUGUCUAAUUCUUUGACUUUAAAGAGAGUAAAUAUCAAAUCUCCAUUCUGUUAAUGCUUUAUUUUUCUGUUACGACACAGACAAGUCUUCCCUCUUCAAAUUUAAGGGCCAGUGACUGGAA
rnacentral:lncRNA from 1 species